UUGUAAAGGAAAGAGGAAUACCCAAUAUAUUGGUUUUUCCGACCUUUAUAUUGGGUAAGGAGAGAAAACUAACCGGGGGUCUCUAAUACCCCUCGCUUGCGUAACCAUACCCGGGGGKCUCUNNAAAACACCCUCGAUUGGGURAKMMUAACCGGGGGUCUYUUAAAAUCUCUUUAUUGGAUAARCAUACUCAGUUGGUCUAAAAACCCAAUAUGGUAAGGAAAGAAAAGUAAUUGAUCUAGAAAAGUUAAMCAAUWUGGUACGGAAAGAGAAAUACUCAAUAUAUGGGUUUUAAAAAUCCMUGGGUAUUUCUCUUUUUUUUUUGCUUCGUUUGAUCUCUAUUUUUUUUUCUUCUUCAUUACAGAUUUAUUAUCGUUAUCGUUUCUUGCAUCUCUCGCAAAAUUCCGGGUAGGCGCGAAUUCUCCCAAUUUGUGACCUAUCAUAGAAUCUAUUAUAUAAAUAGGUAAAUGUUCCUUUCCAUUAUGAAUACCGAUUGUAUGGCCAACCAUUGGGGGUAUAAUGGUAGAUGCCCGAGACCAAGUGACUAUUAUUUCUUUCUCCUCCCCCAUUUUGAUUUUUUGAAUUUUUUCCGAUAAAUGUUUAGCUACAAAUCUUUUUUCUUGACGUAUCACAGCUGAUUACUCCUUUUUUUCCAUGUUAAAGAUUGGCAUUCUAUGUCCAAUAUCUUGAUCUAAGU
rnacentral:misc_RNA from 1 species